AAUUUUUGUUUUGGGGUAUGCACGCGUCCCAAAAACAGUGUUUUAAUCAGUAAUUUCACAAUUGUCGAAAGCUUAUUAUUCCAAAGAUAUUCAUGUAAAUGUCUUCAAACUUUGUAUACUUACUAAUUUGGGGGUGGUCUUUUUAGAGAUUUGGUUCAUUUCUUAAUUCGGGUACUUUUUAACACUCUUCCCCAGUCCACUCAUCAACUUCGGAAAAGCUAAUUGCAACAUCGUAAGCUAUUGUUCUUAUUCAACAUUUUGUAUGCAAAGGAAUUUUCAUAUCUGAGACUUUAAUAAUCGUUGUAACAAUAACUGGCGUUGUUA